AGAGUUUGAUCCUGGCUCAGAUUGAACGCUGGCGGCAGGCCUAACACAUGCAAGUCGAGCGGAUGAUGAGAGCUUGCUCUCUGAUUCAGCGGCGGACGGGUGAGUAAUGCCUAGGAAUCUGCCUGGUAGUGGGGGACAACGUCUCGAAAGGGACGCUAAUACCGCAUACGUCCUACGGGAGAAAGCAGGGGACCUUCGGGCCUUGCGCUAUCAGAUGAGCCUAGGUCGGAUUAGCUAGUUGGUGAGGUAAUGGCUCACCAAGGCGACGAUCCGUAACUGGUCUGAGAGGAUGAUCAGUCACACUGGAACUGAGACACGGUCCAGACUCCUACGGGAGGCAGCAGUGGGGAAUAUUGGACAAUGGGCGAAAGCCUGAUCCAGCCAUGCCGCGUGUGUGAAGAAGGUCUUCGGAUUGUAAAGCACUUUAAGUUGGGAGGAAGGGCAGUAAAUUAAUACUUUGCUGUUUUGACGUUACCGACAGAAUAAGCACCGGCUAACUCUGUGCCAGCAGCCGCGGUAAU
rnacentral:rRNA from 1 species